rnacentral:rRNA from 1 species
CCUAGGGCGGCAGCAGUGGGGAAUAUUGGACAAUGGGCGAAAGCCUGAUCCAGCCAUGCCGCGUGUGUGAAGAAGGCCUUCGGGUUGUAAAGCACUUUCAGUGGGGAAGAAAGCCUUGGGGCUAAUACCCUCGAGGAAGGACAUCACCCACAGAAGAAGCACCGGCUAACUCCGUGCCAGCAGCCGCGGUAAUACGGAGGGUGCGAGCGUUAAUCGGAAUUACUGGGCGUAAAGCGCGCGUAGGCGGUCUGAUAAGCCGGUUGUGAAAGCCCCGGGCUCAACCUGGGAACGGCAUCCGGAACUGUCAGGCUAGAGUGCAGGAGAGGAAGGUAGAAUUCCCGGUGUAGCGGUGAAAUGCGUAGAGAUCGGGAGGAAUACCAGUGGCAAAGGCGGCCUUCUGGACUGACACUGACGCUGAGGUGCGAAAGCGUGGGUAGCAAACAGGAUUAGAUACCCCUGUAGUC